GGGAGUGAAAUAGAACCUGAAACCCUGCACUUACAAGCUGUGGAAGCACAUUUCUUGUGUGACCGCGUACUUUUUGUAGAACGGGCCAACGAGUUACGUUAAGUAGCAAGGUUAAGCACUUAAGGUGUGGAGCCGUAGCGAAAGCGAGUUUUAACUGAGCGUUCAGUUACUUGACGUAGACCCGAAACCGGGCGACCUACCCAUGAGCAGGAUGAAGCGAAAGUAAAAGUUCGUGGAGGUCCGAACCCACGAGCGUUGAAAAGCUCGGGGAUGACUUGUGGGUAGCGGUGAAAUUCCAAUCGAGCCCGGAGAUAGCUGGUUCUCCCCGAAAUAGCUUUAGGGCUAGCCUCAAGGUGAGAGAUACGGAGGUAGAGCACUGAAUGUCCUAGGGGGUAUUGCACCUACCGAAGACUAUCAAACUCCGAAUGCCGUCAUCUUAUACUUGGGAGUCAGACUGUGGGUGAUAAGAUUCAUAGUCGAAAGGGCAACAGCCCAGAUCGUCAGCUAAGGUCCCUAAAUGUAAGUUAAGUGGUAAAGGAUGUGGGAUUGCACAGACAACCAGGAUGUUGGCUUAGAAGCAGCCACUCAUUCAAAGAGUGCGUAAUAGCUCACUGGUCGAGUGAUCCUGCGCCGAAGAUUUCCGGGGCUAAAACUUACUACCGAAGCUACGGCAUCAGUAAUGAUGGGUAGGGGAGCUUCCCAUACGGGUUGAAGCAUGACCGUAAGGACAUGUGGACAGUAUGGGAGUGAGAAUGUUGGCAUGAGUAGCGAGAUGUGGGUGAGAAUCCCACAGGCCGUAAACCCAAGGU
rnacentral:rRNA from 1 species